rnacentral:rRNA from 1 species
UACGGAGGGUGCAAGCGUUAUCCGGAUUCACUGGGGUUAAAGGGAGCGCAGGCGGACAUGUAAGUCAGUGGUGAAAUACCUGAGCUUAACUCGGGAACUGCCAUUGAUACUAUGUGUCUUGAAUAUUGUUGAGGUUUGCGGAAUGGGUCAUGUAGCGGUGAAAUGCAUAGAUAUGACCCGGAACACCGAUGGCGAAGGCAGCCAUCUGGACCGACACUGACGCUGAGGCGCGAAAGCCAGGGGAGCGAACGGG